UAAUAAAGUCCUAAUAGACUUCAGAUGAGAAGUUAAUUUUACGUUUUUCUCAGGCAUUACUGAAACUUCAGUUCCCAUCAUCUCAACAUCUGGAAAUGCAGGCAUGACAGGAGUAGUGAGCCCCACCGUCACUGGUGCUUCAGGCAUGGCAGGUACGACUGGAAGAUCCAUGGGCGCUACCACAGGAGCAGGCAGGGGAAGCACACCUGGAGCGUCAGGCACUGGGGCCACCAGCCCUGGGAACCCAGCAGGCAAGACAGAGACCCUUUUGGGGGCUGUGAUUGGGGUCUAACACAAGCUUUCCCAAGACCCCAGAAUACGAUAACGAGAUUAAGUAAAGAAAACCAAGGACGAUAUUUUAGGAAAACGACAUGAAACUGAAUAUCCUGAAAUAAUUUUUUUUGCUAAUUAUCCAUAUACAUUAAGCACCAUUAUUCUUCCAAGUAGGAACAACUGGAGGAGUGGAUGCAGCCACCACUGGAGCUGCUAGUGAAAAUACAUCUGAGAGAGCAGGCACACCGAGGGUAUCUGGAGCAACCCCUGCAGUCGGAAGUGGCAGUACCCCUGAAGAAGCAGGCCCUGGAGCCACAGUUUCUGGAAGUACAGGAGUUUCUGCAGGCUCCACCACUGCCAGCCCUGGAGCCUCAGCCACAACCUCUGAAAGCAGCAAAUCAGGAACUACUGGACCCUCAGUGGGUGGAAAAACUGGAGCCACAAGCAGUGAAGCGACAUCAUCUGAAGGCAUGUCAGGUGAGUAGAGGAUGUCAUUCCGAGGCUGUGGCUUUUGGUGAAAAGGACAAUAUUUCAUCAGACCUCUGCAAAUUUCACUAAG
ensembl:lincRNA